CCGUGUCCCGCCUGCAGUGGCUCCGCUGACCCAUGGGCUCCGCACGGCUGUAUCCUGCUGUGUCUCCCACAGUGCUCCGGCCUCCUCCAUCUGCCUCGGUCACUCCCAAGUUCCCUGCUUCCUCCCCUCCGCUGCCAUGUCAGUCUGGAGCCCAGGACAGCACGUGGGCCAAACCUGCAGGUCUGGAAGGGAGUCACUGCCGUGAGGCCCCAAGGAGAACAGACGCUGCCGGCCUCGAGCCCCAGAGCGAGCUGCCUCCUGGGGCAGCCCCUCUGCACCCCCAGGCUCCCCAGGUCCACCGAGGGACGCCUGGGACCACCGGACUUCAACAGGACCACACCCACUCCCGUCCCCCCAGCUCUGGCAGGUCACCUCAGGAGGUCUGAGCUCAGAGAGACAAAGGCACAUGCCCGCGGGAACCCCAGCCAUCAGCAGCAGAGGCAGAAAGACUGCAGACUCAGGCAGCCCCAGCAAUUGAGCAAUACCCCUAGUGAGACUCUGCCCCAAAUCAAAAAGGCUUGGGGGUGUGGCCGGCCGUGGAGUGCCCAGGGCUCAAUCCCCAGGACCAAAAUAAAAGCAAAAACCAAAGAUAGAGCUAAAGGGAAGGAGGCCAGGCCAGUAUCAGGACAGGUCUCAGGGCGUCCCCCACCCAGCUCCGGGCUCCCGCAGCCGUCUGUGGUGGGGAGCGUCUGUUUUAACUACUGCUCCCCAUGACCAGC
rnacentral:lncRNA from 1 species